rnacentral:lncRNA from 1 species
GUGCAGAGUUUCUCAUACACGAGUGAAGACAACACCGGAUGAAAGCUGGGCCCGCAGCUUGAGCUUCAGCUCUUCCACUAGCUUUAACACAGAGCUAGCAGACAGGACAGCUUCUGCUGCUGGGUCCAGUUCCUGUCAUCUGUCCUUUCCCACCUGGACCCUGACGUGGCUCUACAGUUAUGCUAGACCACUCCAUUUCUCCAUAUGUCUCACGUCCUUAACUCUGGUGAUAGGUUACUGCUUCCGUUUACUAGUUCUUGUUUUCUCAUCCCUCCUCCUGUAUAUCUUACCUUAUGCCAGGGAUUGAACCCAGGACCUUUGCUUGUCAGUCAAGCAUUCUGCCACGAGGCAUACUUUCAGGCCCCGCGACAAAUUUGUAGUAUAGUUUCCCUUGCUUAGUGGGUUGCAAUGACCCGGGGAUGAGGGUGUGAGGGAGAGAAGCAGGAGGAACCAGGAACAUGAACUCUGUAGGAACUUGAUGACUUCUGGUGUGCUAUCUAAAGCAGUUGACUCUGUCACCUCCCACUCUCCCUGUCCUUCUGGCUUGCUUCUCUUGAGAGCUCUUCACCUAGCUGGUUCUGAGCCGCUUCCAAGGCACCUGAAGAAGGAAAGGAAUAAGGGAAGAGAAAAGCACCAAGAUACGAUCAGUGAAGGAGUCUUUAUUUAGGAAAAGGAAAAUCUGACAAGAAAUUUGGUAAAUGUUGAAUAGAAGGGUAAACAUGAGCCAGAAGAGAGUUAGAGAGAAGAUUGGGAAAUGGAGAGAGAAAGAGAGAGAGAGAGAGAGAGAGAGAGAGACUUGCUGAGUGAGCUGGGGACUGUGUCUCCCAGGCAGGGUGGCAGAGGAUCCUAUAAGGUCAUAAGAUGUCUGGUAGACAAACCUAGAAUGUUCCUGAGAGGAAGGGGAGGUGUUUAGUGCUACCUGGGAAGGUCAGUGUGUGCUUGAGGUCUGCCUGUGACUGUCUGUUUUCACUUUGCAGAAGAGCCAUGCUUUUGGAACAGGUUAACAGGUUUCCAAUCAGAGUUCAACAUUUUGUUGCUUAAAAUUUCAUUUUUAUCUAUGUCUGUCUAUCUAUCUAUCCAUAUAUCUAUCUAUGUAUCUAUGUAUGUAUGUAUCUAUUUAUCUAUGUAUCUAUCUAUAUAUCUAUGCAUGUAUGUUUGUAUCUAUGUAUCUAUGUUUGUAUCUAUUUAUGUAUCUAUAUAUCUAUAUAUGCAUGUAUAUUUGUAUCUAUGUAUCUAUGUGUUAUGUAUGUAUCUAUCAUCUAUCUAUCUAUCUAUCUAUCUAUCUAUCUAUCUAUCUAUCUAUCUAAUUUUUGUUCUUUGGCUGUGGUUGGCUGCAAGAAGCCUAACACUAGUCAGGGACAGGCCUCCUCCUUGGGGUAGAUGGGUGGGGGACCAGGACAGGGCAGGCUCCCACUUGAAUUGUGUCCAUACACACAUUUUUCCAGCCAGUCCUACCCUUUGCAGGAGGCUAGUGAACAUUUAACUGUGAAUAGUGGGCUCACAUCUGCUUCUAUUUUUCUCCUUUCUGCAGGCCAGACUAAAAAACUUAAUAAAUUGUAUGAAACCUAAGUAAGCAUGGAUUUUAGAGAACAUUAAAUAAAUUACAUAAGUAUGUCUACCUGUAACACUGUUAAAAGGUAAAUGCAGGAGGGUUAGUUUACCAUAAAUGUACACAUGAACGGAGCGUUAUUCUAAAGCCCCUUGUUUCAGCGCCGCCGUCAUGAAAGUAGUACUGUUCCCAGUUCUCGGCUGCUUUUCCUCCCUGGCAAGUACUGUCCUGGGCUUGGAAAACGUGAUAAUGAUGCCGUAAGUACCCUUGUGUAAAACUUGUUUUUUUGUUCCAAAACAUUGCCAGUUCACGGCACAUAAAACCGCCAUGAUCCUUCAGCCACUUUUCCCUCUCCCCAAAUAAGGCAAGCGUUAAUGAAGCAGCCAAGGGCCCGGGAAAAUAUUUGCUAUUCCUUAAAAUGAAAUUUCUCCUGUUCUUGGGGGAAGGGGCAAGCUCAUAGACUGUCUAGCUCAAGUGUGCCAGUGUCUAGCCAGACAUUCGGAAAAUCUUGUUUAUUCCCAGUCUGACUUGAAGCAGCCUUCCAUCGAUGUAGCGUUGUCCCGUCCCGUGUCCUCAUUUGUGACUGGAAGCCACAUGGGAAGGAUGCCUCGGUUUUCCCAUUCUACAGAGAGGAAGGUGCAGUCCAGCCAGGCUCCCUGACCUCUCUCUAGGCCUAGCAGAUCCCUAGCUUCCAAUGCCUGCAGUUACGAAGAAAGUGCAGGGGUCAGGUAAUUCUGAGGUGGAGGUAGACUCACUCUAUUUCACUGCUUGGCUUCACCAGGUGUUUAGGGGUUCCCGUUCAUGGUCCAAGUGCUUGGCAAAUGACAGCUCUUCUGCACAAAUUCCAGACUACCCUUGUCAUUCUUACCUGGCCAGUGUCCUGCAUGGGAGCAAAAAAUGACGUAGUUUCAGGGAGCCCGUGGGUACUCUCUCCAACACCACGCUUUCCCAAUUCCAGUGCAUUAUGAAUUGUAAGAUUUGCCCAGAUAAUGGGUUUUGAAGGAGAAAAGAAACACAACUAUGUUAAAUUUGUAUGAUUAGGCACCCCAAUAGUAGAAAAGUAAAUCUGUAGAACUGAUGUUAGAACAGAGGGGGUAAUGCUUGUGCGUGGGGUACAUCUUGAAGUCAGCAGGCUGUCCUAACUUUGAGAGACAUACACUAAGACAGCUUCAAACAUACUUUUGGUUACAUGAAGGGGAGGCAUUGAGUGGAUCAGUAUUAAAAGAGUAACUUGUGAGCCUGCAGUCAUGAUGGGCAGUCGGCAACUGGGAGGAGUUGGGCAAUUGAUUUUGCAGGAGCCUGUGAACAGAGGCCACGCGGUGGUUCCAAGUUUGCACUUUGUUUUUGGCCACUUGGAAGAAUACCGGCAUUGAAAGAGGUUGGCUUCUGCUUCUCGUGGCACACACUGAGCGCCUGUCUACCUUCCAGCCUCCCCUCAGCCCAGCUCCCCACUGGGAGAAGUUGGUCUGCAGCAUGAAUGGGAACAAUGACCGUAGAGUCUUCACCGGAAGACAAUACCGUAGCAUUUAGUGCUCUGCCGGGAAGAGUGGACCCCGCACAUUAAUUAUCCUUAAUAUAAAUGUGGUGCAUUUGAACAUCUAGAUGAAGAAUGCAGCAAAGAAUAUGCAUUUCUGCUGUGAGUGACUUAGAAUAUAUCAACAUAAUGGCCCUUGGUUAUUAACACAUUAUGUGAAUUGGACAAUGAUAUACACUUUGAGGACCUUGAACUAGAUCCACCAGCUAAGAGCCUGUAGGACGGGCUCCAGAAGCCUGGGAGUUC